UAAGACUAAAACCCAAGUUUCAUAUCAAUCCCAGGGAAUAGGUUAUUGAAUAGAUUUGCAUUAUGUUAUGGGCAGGAACUAGGAGUGGAAGAGGUUGUGAGUCAUCUAGUCAGUGGUGUCUGCUAUAAAGCCUGAAGACUCUCCUUGUGUAUGAAUUUUUCAUUUUUGUUGCAGAGGAAAUAGUUUGUUUCACUUUAAUGAGCACUGUUGAGAAGAAAAUAUACCUAUCACAUAUCACCUCAUGUUGACAGAUUUUCACCAACCCAGACCCCAAAAUGACAUGCUGCUCUUUCUUCCUCAGAAACAUGAAUUCUAGAAUCUUGCAAGUUUUCCAGAGGGAACUCACCUGCCCCAUCUGCAUGAACUACUUCAUAGACCCAGUCACCAUAGACUGUGGGCACAGCUUUUGCAGGCCCUGUUUCUACCUCAACUGGCAAGACAUCACGGUUCUUCCUCAGUGUUCUAAAUGCAAGAAGACAACAUGGCAGAGAAACCUCAGAACUAACAUUCGCUUGAAUAAGAUGGCUUCCAUUGCCAGAAAAGCAAGUCUCAGGCAAUUCCUUACCUCUGAGGAGCAGAUAUGUGGGACUCACAGAGAGCUAAAGAAGAUGUUCUGUGAAGUGGACAAGAGCCUGCUCUGUUUGAUAUGCUCCAACUCUCAGGAGCACCGAGACCACAAACACUGUCCCAUUGAGUGGGCUGCUGAGGAACACCGGGAGAAGCUCCUGAAGAAAAUGCAGUCUUUAUGGGAAAAAGCUUGUGAAAAUCACAGAAACCUGAACAUGGAAACCACCAGAACCAGAUGCUGGAAGAAUUAUGUGAGUUUAAGGAUAGAAGCAAUCAGAGCUGAAUAUCAGAAGAUGCCUGCAUUUCUCCACGAAGAAGAGCAACAUCACUUGGAGAGGCUGCAAAAGGAGGGCGAGGACAUUUUUCAGCAACUCAUUGAAAGCAAAGCCAGAAUGGAACAUUCGAGGGAACUUUUAAGAGGAAUGUGUGAGGAUCUGAAGCAAAUGUGCCAUAAAGCAGAUGUGGAGCUACUCCAGGUAUGGGCUGACCAUGGGGUAUCAGGAUGUAGAACCUUCACAUACAUGGGUGUUUUUCCUCUCUCCUGAAAUCUAACCCCACUUUACUUCCAUGAUUUGUUUCUAAAAACACGUUUCUAUAACUAAUGCUACUCAGUUGGGAGGUUAUAGCCUCUCCUAUGGAUUCUACCAACCGAAGGUCCCUCCUACUUUAUCCACCAGCAACAAAACUUUGUGGAAUGACCAAGGCUUUUGAAGACAUAUUACACAGGUAUGAGUCCCUGCUGCUGCAAGUGCCCAAGCCUGUGAAUCCAGAGCUCAGUGC